UCUUGACAUCCUUUGACAACUCUAGAGAUAGAGCCUUCCCCUUCGGGGGACAAAGUGACAGGUGGUGCAUGGUUGUCGUCAGCUCGUGUCGUGAGAUGUUGGGUUAAGUCCCGCAACGAGCGCAACCCUUAAGCUUAGUUGCCAUCAUUAAGUUGGGCACUCUAAGUUGACUGCCGGUGACAAACCGGAGGAAGGUGGGGAUGACGUCAAAUCAUCAUGCCCCUUAUGAUUUGGGCUACACACGUGCUACAAUGGACAAUACAAAGGGCAGCGAAACCGCGAGGUCAAGCAAAUCCCAU
rnacentral:rRNA from 1 species